GAUGAACGCUGGCGGCGUGCCUAAUACAUGCAAGUCGAGCGAACAGACGAGGAGCUUGCUCCUCUGACGUUAGCGGCGGACGGGUGAGUAACACGUGGAUAACCUACCUAUAAGACUGGGAUAACUUCGGGAAACCGGAGCUAAUACCGGAUAACAUGUUGAACCGCAUGGUUCAACAGUGAAAGACGGUCUUGCUGUCACUUAUAGAUGGAUCCGCGCCGCAUUAGCUAGUUGGUAAGGUAACGGCUUACCAAGGCAACGAUGCGUAGCCGACCUGAGAGGGUGAUCGGCCACACUGGAACUGAGACACGGUCCAGACUCCUACGGGAGGCAGCAGUAGGGAAUCUUCCGCAAUGGACGAAAGCCUAACGGGGCAACGCCGCGUGAGUGAUGAAGGUCUUCGGAUCGUAAAACUCUGUUAUUAGGGAAGAACAAAUGUGUAAGUAACUAUGCACGUCUUGACGGUACCUAAUCAGAAAGCCACGGCUAACUACGUG
rnacentral:rRNA from 1 species